GGAAUUUUGGGGAAUUUUGGGGGGAUUUUGGGGGGAUUUUGACGGGAUUUGGGGGAAUUUGUGGGGAUUUUUUGGGAAAUUUGGGGGGAUUUGGGGGGAUUUGGGGAUUUUGGGGGAUUUGUGGGAAUUUUGGGGAUUUUGGGGGAAUUUUGGGGGAAUUUUGGGGAUUUUGGGGGGAUUUUGGGGGUCCCGGGUGGAUUUUGGGGGUCUCAGUUCCAUUUUUGGGGGUCCUGGUCCCAUUUUUGGGGGUCCCAGUUCCAUUUUUGGGGGUCCCAGGGGGUUUUCGGGGCUCCCAGUUCCAUUUUUGGGGGUCCCGGUCCUGAUUUUGGGGAUCCCAGGGGGUUUUUGGGGCUCCCAGAUCCAUUUUUGGGGGUCCCAGUCCCAUUUUUGGGGGUCCCAGGGGGUUUUCGGGGUCCCCAAUCCUAUUUUUGGGGGUCCCAGAUCCAUUUUUGGGGCUCCCAGUUCAAUUUUUGGUGGUCCAGUUUCAAUUUUUGGGGGUCUCCAGUCCCAUUUUUGGGGGUCCUGGUUCCGAUUUCGGGGGUCCCAGUUCCAUUUUUGGGGGUCCUGGUCCCAUUUUUGGGGUCCCGGUCCUGUUUUUGGGGGUCCCAGGGAGUUUUUGGGGGUCCCAGUUCAAUUUCUGGGGCUCCCAGUCCAAUUUUUGGGGGUCCCAGUUCCAUUUUUGGGGGUCCCAGGGGGUUUUAGGGUUCCCCAGUCCCAUUUUUGGGACUCCCAGUUCCAUUUUUGGGGGUCCCAGUUCCAUUUCUGGGGGUCCCAGUUCCAUUUCUGGGGGUCCCAGUCCCAUUUUUGGGGCUCCCAGUCCAAUUUUUGGGGGUCCCAGUUCCAUUUUUGGGGGUCCCAGGGAGUUUUUGGGGGUCCUGGUUGCGUUUUUGGGGGUCCCGGUUCCGUUUUCGGGGGUCCCGGUUCCGAUUUCGGGGUCCCCAGUCCCAUUUUUGGGGUCUCAGUUCCAUUUUCGGGGUUCCCAGGGGGUUUUUGGGGGUCCCAGUCCCAUUUUUGGGGGUCCCGAUUCCAUUUCUGGGGGUCCCAGGGGGUUUUUGGGGGUCCCGGUCCCGUUUCCGGGGAUCCCGGUCCCGUUUUUGGGGGUCCCGGUCCCGUUUCCGGGGGUCCCAGGGGGUUUUUGGGGCUCCCAGUUCCAUUUCCGGGGGUUCCAGUUCUGAUUUGGGGGGUCCCAGGGGGUUUUUGGGGGUCCCGGUUUCGUUUCCGGGUGUCCCGGUUCCGAUUUCGGGGGUCCCGGUCCCGUUUUUGGGGGUCCCGGUUCCGUUUUUGGAGGUCCCGGUUCCGAUUUCAGGGGUCCCGGUUCCGUUUCCGGGGGUCCCGGGGGGUUUUCGGGGCUCCCAGUUCCAUUUUUGGGGGUCCCGGUCCUGAUUUUGGGGAUCCCAGGGGGUUUUUGGGGCUCCCAGAUCCAUUNNNNNNNNNNNNNNNNNNNNGGGGAUUUUGGGGAAUUUGGGCGAUUUCGAGGAGAUUUUGGGUGGAUUUUGGGAAUUUUGGGAAUUUUGGGGAAUUUUGGGGAAUUUUGGGGGGAUUUUGGGGGGAUUUUGACGGGAUUUGGGGGAAUUUGUGGGGAUUUUUUGGGAAAUUUGGGGGGAUUUGGGGGGAUUUGGGGAUUUUGGGGGAUUUGUGGGAAUUUUGGGGAUUUUGGGGGAAUUUUGGGGGAAUUUUGGGGAUUUUGGGGGGAUUUUGGGGGUCCCGGGUGGAUUUUGGGGGUCUCAGUUCCAUUUUUGGGGGUCCUGGUCCCAUUUUUGGGGGUCCCAGUUCCAUUUUUGGGGGUCCCAGGGGGUUUUCGGGGCUCCCAGUUCCAUUUUUGGGGGUCCCGGUCCUGAUUUUGGGGAUCCCAGGGGGUUUUUGGGGCUCCCAGAUCCAUUUUUGGGGGUCCCAGUCCCAUUUUUGGGGGUCCCAGGGGGUUUUCGGGGUCCCCAAUCCUAUUUUUGGGGGUCCCAGAUCCAUUUUUGGGGCUCCCAGUUCAAUUUUUGGUGGUCCAGUUUCAAUUUUUGGGGGUCUCCAGUCCCAUUUUUGGGGGUCCUGGUUCCGAUUUCGGGGGUCCCAGUUCCAUUUUUGGGGGUCCUGGUCCCAUUUUUGGGGUCCCGGUCCUGUUUUUGGGGGUCCCAGGGAGUUUUUGGGGGUCCCAGUUCAAUUUCUGGGGCUCCCAGUCCAAUUUUUGGGGGUCCCAGUUCCAUUUUUGGGGGUCCCAGGGGGUUUUAGGGUUCCCCAGUCCCAUUUUUGGGACUCCCAGUUCCAUUUUUGGGGGUCCCAGUUCCAUUUCUGGGGGUCCCAGUUCCAUUUCUGGGGGUCCCAGUCCCAUUUUUGGGGCUCCCAGUCCAAUUUUUGGGGGUCCCAGUUCCAUUUUUGGGGGUCCCAGGGAGUUUUUGGGGGUCCUGGUUGCGUUUUUGGGGGUCCCGGUUCCGUUUUCGGGGGUCCCGGUUCCGAUUUCGGGGUCCCCAGUCCCAUUUUUGGGGUCUCAGUUCCAUUUUCGGGGUUCCCAGGGGGUUUUUGGGGGUCCCAGUCCCAUUUUUGGGGGUCCCGAUUCCAUUUCUGGGGGUCCCAGGGGGUUUUUGGGGGUCCCGGUCCCGUUUCCGGGGAUCCCGGUCCCGUUUUUGGGGGUCCCGGUCCCGUUUCCGGGGGUCCCAGGGGGUUUUUGGGGCUCCCAGUUCCAUUUCCGGGGGUUCCAGUUCUGAUUUGGGGGGUCCCAGGGGGUUUUUGGGGGUCCCGGUUUCGUUUCCGGGUGUCCCGGUUCCGAUUUCGGGGGUCCCGGUCCCGUUUUUGGGGGUCCCGGUUCCGUUUCCGGGGGUCCCAGGAGGUUUUUGGGGGUCCCGGUUCCGUUUCCGGGGGUCCCGGGGGGUUUUCGGGGCUCCCAGUUCCAUUUUUGGGGGUCCCAGGGGUUUUUUUGGGGGUCCCGGUUCCGUUUUCGGGGCUCCCGGUUCCGUUUUUGGGGGUUCCAGUUCUGAUUUCGGGGGUCCCAGGGGGUUUUUGGGGGUCCCGGUCCCAUUUUUGGGGGCCCCGGUUCCAUUUUUGGGGGUCCCGGUUCCGAUUUCGGGGGUCCCGGACCUGCUCGAAGAACUCGUCCAUGAAGUGGUCCCGGUCCACCGUCACCACCUCGUCCUCAUCGUCGCUGUCCUUGGCCUGCAGGGGGCGCUGUCACCCCGGGGAAGGGGGCGUGGCCUCCCCAAACCCCGCCCACCCUCGUUUGCAUAGCCCCUCCCCCU
ensembl:lncRNA